UAGGGUGUAUUAGAAAUGGACGAAAGUCUGAUCUAGCAACACCGCGUGUGCGAUGAAGGCCUUCGGGUCGUAAAGCGCUUUUUGGAAGGAAUAGGAAGGAAUGUACUUCCAGAAUAAGUCUCGGCUAACUACGUGCCAGCAGCCGCGGUAACACGUAGGAGGCAAACGUUAUCCGGAUUUACUGGGCGUAAAGCGCGUGUAGGUGGUACUGUAAGUAGGGCGUGAAAGCUCCUGGCUCAACUGGGAGAGGCCGUUCUAAACUACAGAACUAGAGGAUGGUAGAGGGAGGUGGAAUUCCAGGUGUAGCGGUGGAAUGCGCAGAUAUCUGGAGGAACACCGGUGGCGAAGGCGGCCUCCUGGACCAUUCCUGACACUCAGACGCGAAAGCUAGGGUAGCAAACGG
rnacentral:rRNA from 1 species